rnacentral:rRNA from 1 species
AUGCCAACACCAACACCACCGGUCGACGACCCCUACUAUGACCAGUUCAUGGAGGAAGUGAUCUACGAGGGUGGGCCCGUCCCUAUCUACGACCCUGAGGAGACCCAAAGUCAGGAUGGUCGCGGCCAGUUCACUGCCGAUGAAGAGGCCGACGACCGUGCUGACUACGACCAUGGUGACUCGUGGCAUGAAGACGAUGACAUCUAUGUCGAAGAUGAUGGUGAUGAAGAAGAAAUCAAUGGCGCUGACAUUAGUGGCGAGCCAUUGUUCAUCGACGAGCUGACACAAAGAGCGGAAGCACAAAAGAAGAGGAAGAGCAUUCACGCGGGUUCAUACACACAAGACGAGGACAAGUUGAUUUGCCAAGCUUGGAUGGAGAUUAGCCAAGAUCCGAGGACCGGCGCGCAAUAA